CAGUAGCCGCGGUAAUACGGAGGGUGCAAGCGUUAUCCGGAUUCACUGGGUUUAAAGGGUGCGUAGGCGGAUCUGUAAGUCAGUGGUGAAAUCUCCAGGCUUAACCUGGAAACUGCCGUUGAUACUGGUGUGCUUGAAUGUACAUGAGGUAGGCGGAAUGAGACAAGUAGCGGUGAGAUGCAUAGAUAUGUCUCAGAACACCAAUUGCGAAGGCAGCUUACUAAGGUAUGAUUGACGCUGAUGCACGAAAGCGUGGGGAUCAAACAGGAUUAGAUACCCCCGUAGUCCCUGUCUCUUAUAA
rnacentral:rRNA from 1 species